AUUGAACGCUGGCGGCAGGCCUAACACAUGCAAGUCGAACGAGUGGCGGACGGGUGAGUAAUGUCUGGGAAACUGCCUGAUGGAGGGGGAUAACUACUGGAAACGGUAGCUAAUACCGCAUACCAUCAGAUGUGCCCAGAUGGGAUUAGCUUGUUGGUGGGGGAACGGCUCACCAAGGCGACGAUCCCUAGCUGGUCUGAGAGGAUGACCAGCCACCCGGGAUCUGUGACGCGGUCCAAACUCCUACGGGAGGAAGCAGUGGGAAAUAUUGCGGAAUGGGCGCAGGCCUGAUGCAGCCAUGCCGGGUGUAUGAAGAGGGCCUUCGGGUUGUAAAGUACUUUCGGCGGGGAGGCGUUACCCGCAGAAGAAGCACCGGCUAACUCCGUGCCAGCGGCCCCGGUAUUU
rnacentral:rRNA from 1 species